GCUAGCUACAGGCUUAACACAUGCAAGUCGAGGGGCAGCAUUUUAGUUUGCUUGCAAACUAAAGAUGGCGACCGGCGCACGGGUGAGUAACACGUAUCCAACCUGCCGAUAACUCGGGGAUAGCCUUUCGAAAGAAAGAUUAAUAUCCGAUAGUAUAUUAAAACCGCAUGGUUUUACUAUUAAAGAAUUUCGGUUAUCGAUGGGGAUGCGUUCCAUUAGUUUGUUGGCGGGGUAACGGCCCACCAAGACUACGAUGGAUAGGGGUUCUGAGAGGAAGGUCCCCCACAUUGGAACUGAGACACGGUCCAAACUCCUACGGGAGGCAGCAGUGAGGAAUAUUGGUCAAUGGACGAGAGUCUGAACCAGCCAAGUAGCGUGAAGGAUGACUGCCCUAUGGGUUGUAAACUUCUUUUAUAUGGGAAUAAAGUAUUCCACGUGUGGAAUUUUGUAUGUACCAUAUGAAUAAGGAUCGGCUAACUCCGUGCCAGCAGCCGCGGUAAUACGGAGGAUCCGAGCGUUAUCCGGAUUUAUUGGGUUUAAAGGGAGCGUAGGUGGAUUGUUAAGUCAGUUGUGAAAGUUUGCGGCUCAACCGUAAAAUUGCAGUUGAAACUGGCAGUCUUGAGUACAGUAGAGGUGGGCGGAAUUCGUGGUGUAGCGGUGAAAUGCUUAAGAUAUCACGAAGAACUUCCGAUUGCCAAUGCAGCUCACUAGACUGCAACUUGACACUGAUGCUCGAAAGUGUGGGUAUCAAACAGGAUUAGAUACCCUGGUAGUCCACACAGUAAACGAUGAAUACUCGGUGUUUGCGAUAUACAGUAAGCGGCCAAGCGAAAGCAUUAAGUAUUCCACGUGGGGAGUACGCCGGCAACGGUGAAACUCAAAGGAAUUGACGGGGGCCCGCACAAGCGGAGGAACAUGUGGUUUAAUUGGAUGAUACGCGAGGAUCCUUACCUGGGCUUAAAUUGCAUUUGAAUAAUCUGGAAACAGGUUAGCCGCAAGGCAAAUGUGAAGGUGCUGCAUGGUUGUCGUCAGCUCGUGCCGUGAGGUGUCGGCUUAAGUGCCAUAACGAGCGCAACCCUUAUCUUUAGUUACUAACAGGUCAUGCUGAGGACUCUAGAGAGACUGCCGUGGUAAGAUGUGAGGAAGGUGGGGAUGACGUCAAAUCAGCACGGCCCUUACGUCCGGGGCUACACACGUGUUACAAUGGGGGGUACAGAAGGCAGCUACCUGGCGACAGGAUGCUAAUCCCAAAAACCUCUCUCAGUUCGGAUCGAAGUCUGCAACCCGACUUCGUGAAGCUGGAUUCGUUAGUAAUCGCGCAUCAGCCAUGGCGCGGUGAAUACGUUCCUGGGCCUUGUACACACCGCCCGUCAAGCCAUGAAAGCCGGGGGUACCUGAAGUACGUAACCGCAAGGAGCGUCCUAGGGUAAAACUGGUAAUUGGGGCUAAGUCAUAACAA
rnacentral:rRNA from 1 species